GACGAACGCUGGCGGCGUGCUUAACACAUGCAAGUCGAACGGAAAGGCCCUGCUUUUGUGGGGUGCUCGAGUGGCGAACGGGUGAGUAACACGUGAGUAACCUGCCCUUGACUUUGGGAUAACUUCAGGAAACUGGGGCUAAUACCGGCUAGGAGCUCCUGCUGCAUGGUGGGGGUUGGAAAGUUUCGGCGGUUGGGGAUGGACUCGCGGCUUAUCAGCUUGGUGGUGGGGUAGUGGCUUACCAAGGCUUUGACGGGUAGCCGGCCUGAGAGGGUGACCGGCCACAUUGGGACUGAGAUACGGCCCAGACUCCUACGGGAGGCAGCAGUGGGGAAUAUUGCACAAUGGGCGGAAGCCUGAUGCAGCAACGCCGCGUGCGGGAUGACGGCCUUCGGGUUGUAAACCGCUUUCGCCUGUGACGAAGCGUGAGUGACGGUAAUGGGUAAAGAAGCACCGGCUAACUACGUG
rnacentral:rRNA from 1 species